rnacentral:rRNA from 1 species
GACGAACGCUGGCGGCGUGCUUAACACAUGCAAGUCGAACGUGAUUUUUGUGGAAAUUCUUUCGGGAAUGGAAAUGAAAUGAAAGUGGCGAACGGGUGAGUAACACGUGAGCAACCUACCUUACACAGGGGGAUAGCCGUUGGAAACGACGAUUAAUACCGCAUGAGACCACAGAAUCGCAUGAUAUAGGGGUCAAAGAUUUAUCGGUGUAAGAAGGGCUCGCGUCUGAUUAGCUAGUUGGAAGGGUAAAGGCCUACCAAGGCGACGAUCAGUAGCCGGUCUGAGAGGAUGAACGGCCACAUUGGAACUGAGACACGGUCCAAACUCCUACGGGAGGCAGCAGUGGGGAAUAUUGCACAAUGGGGGGAACCCUGAUGCAGCGACGCCGCGUGAGCGAAGAAGGUUUUCGAAUCGUAAAGCUCUGUCCUAUGAGAAGAUAAUGACGGUAUCAUAGGAGGAAGCCCCGGCUAAAUACGUGCCAGCAGCCGCGGUAAUACGUAUGGGGCGAGCGUUGUCCGGAAUUAUUGGGCGUAAAGGGUACGUAGGCGGCCUUUUAAGUCAGGUGUGAAAGCGUGAGGCUUAACCUCAUUAAGCACUUGAAACUGGAAGACUUGAGUGAAGGAGAGGAAAGUGGAAUUCCUAGUGUAGCGGUGAAAUGCGUAGAUAUUAGGAGGAAUACCGGUGGCGAAGGCGACUUUCUGGACUUUUACUGACGCUCAGGUACGAAAGCGUGGGGAGCAAACAGG